rnacentral:rRNA from 1 species
UAUUGGACAAUGGGCGAAAGCCUGAUCCAGCAAUGCCGCGUGUGUGGAGAAGGCCUUCGGGUUGUAAAGCACUUUCAGAGGUGAGGAAGUGAUAAUGGUUAAUAACCAUUAUUGUUGACGUUAGCCUCAGAAGAAGCACCGGCUAACUCUGUGCCAGCAGCCGCGGUAAUACAGAGGGUGCUAGCGUUAAUCGGAAUUACUGGGCGUAAAGGGUGUGUAGGUGGUUAAAGUAAGUCAGAUGUAAAAACCCCGGGCUUAACCUGGGAAUGUCGUUUGAAACUGCUUAGCUAGAGUACUAUAGAGGAUAGUGGAAUUUCCAGUGUAGCGGUGAAAUGCGUAGAUAUUGGAAGGAACACCAGUGGCGAAGGCGACUAUCGGAUAGAUACGACACGAAACACGAAAGCAUGG